rnacentral:lncRNA from 1 species
GACAUUUCAUCGGUGGAAUUGAAUAAUUAUUAUUACUAUUUUUUAUCAUCGCUUUUGACCGCAGUGGAAUGUGAUAUUUGAUGCCUCGCUUUCUUAAUACCGGGGGGCAAUUACCCGAAUCUUCUUUUUUUUUUCGGCGACCCAUGAACAUGUCCGUGAGAAUUAUAUCAAAUAAUUGAAAGGUCAAAUACUUGAAGAGUCGUGAUGUGACAUUUAUUCAUUUUUUAUCAUCAAAAUCGUGUAUAAAUACCGAACCCGGGGGUGAAACCUCACUGCUACUCUGGACCAGUUACUCUGUCACAGUUACUCUGCCCGAGAAGUUCUUCCUGCUCCUGCUGCUCCUGCUACUGAUUCACCUCGUGAUAUUCUUUGCUCCUCCUCCUCCUUCCGACAGCUUUCAUACCUGAGCGUGUCUCAUUUUUAAAAUCUUAAAUUGAUUCACCUCGUGAUAUUUUCACCUCCCGCCGGCUUAUACCUUUGCGUGCCACAUUCUCUAAAUCUUAAAUUGAUACUUCUUCGUUUUUUUCCACCUGACAUCCGUGUGACCAUCGUCUGCCCGCUCUCCUCGUUCUUAUUCUCACCCUACAUUCAAAAAGUCUCACACCAUCCAUCAACACCCUCAGCAACACCAGCAAUAACUCCAGCAACAACACACAACCAACACCAGCAAAAAAAAAAAGAUGCAGCUUAUUCAAAUCCUACCGAUAAUCGAAUCCCAUUUCCACGUGUGGGUCGGGAAUCCCAGCUCUCGACCCAUCAUGAUCAAUAUUUGGGCCCCAACUAUAUGCAGGCAUAUACAGUCCGGCGGCUUGGGAGGUUAUAUCCACCUGGAUAUCGUCCAGACCGGGGAUGAUAACCGUGGAAAAUACUCCAGGAGGGUAUAACCUCACCAAGGAGGGGAGUGUAUUUAUGCUGCAAUAUUGGGCGACAGAGGGGGAGAGUAGUCUUUCCCUGGUAUUGAUGGGAGGAUAAUUCAAUACCAGGGAUAGGCUUCUCUCACUCUGCCGCCUGUCCUUUUCACAUAUCUGUUAUAUAUAUGUAUAUAUUUGUCCAUGAUUUAAAAAAAAAAAAAAUAAAGUGAGGAGUCAAUGAGGAAAUACCCGAGUUUUUUUCUUUCUUCCUUUUUCUCACUUUGAGAAUGGGUGGGUGGGAUACUAAACUAAUGAAAUAAUGCAGGGUGAGCAGACACAGGGGUCUAUCUCUGAUAAUGUUGAGUUAAAUUCUAGGAUUAACACAUGGUAAUCCUAGGAUUUAGUCUAAACAGGAGAUAGGUUCCCUCUGCUGCGUAGCCCUCACACCUGUUCCAUAUAUGAAGUAAUAUUUUUUCAUCUUCUGUUUAUUAAAAAAAAUUAAUACGAAACCUUAAAGGUUAGAGUUUUCUCCACACCUUCCUUCGGUUGGUGUUUAUAAGUAUUACCUAGCAGUUAUAAGAUGAGAAAGUUUCAAAAAUGAGAGACAAACCUUAAAGGUUGGAGUUUUCCCCACACCUUCCCUCGGUUGGUGUUUAUAAGUAUUACCUAGCAGUCAUAAGAUGAGAAAAUUUUAAAAAUGAAAGACAACUAAUGCCUGUUGCUAUUCAUAGGAGAGAUUACACACGGGGAAAUUUCCGAAAUUGAAAAUUGAAAAUUUAGAUGACUGUUGACAGAAAAAUUGGACGGGUAAAUUUUGAAAAAUUGCACAAAGAUUACACUCGAAUUUUUCGGAAAUUUUCACCGUAGUACAGGGUGAUUACAUUGCACGACUCUUGUCAAAAGUCUGGGGAAAUCGUGUGCUGGUCUUCAAUUUUGAAA